rnacentral:lncRNA from 1 species
UUGAAUUGGUUUUUCAAAAUUUCUUUUUAAAAAUCGAAAAUUAUUUUAGAAACUAAUUUAAAAAAAUUUAUUUUUUAAAGUAGGUUUUUAUAUAUUUAUUAGAAUCUUAAAUUUCACGUUUCAAAAAUCUACUCCACCCUUCAACUGUAAACUCUAAGUCUAGAUUAGUUAACCCUAGGGUUAUAAAUGUUUUUUACCUUUCAUUAAAAGUAAAUGUAAAAGUGGUUAGUGUAAACAUGAAACAAUUGUAAACCCUAAGUCUAUAUUAGUUAACCCUAGGGUUAUAAAUGUUUUUUACCGUUCAUUAAAAAUAAAUGUAAAAGUGGUUAGUGUAAACAUGAAAAAUGAUAUUAUGAAUGUGAUAUUUUUGAACCAUAUUUUGAAAUGAAUAUAUGUAUAUCAUUUUCAUUUUAAGAAUGUUAUAGUUUACAUGUUUAUAAUCGUUCUACCCGUCGUACAAAUCUCUUAAUAAUGUUUAUAAUCGUAACUAUUUGUAUCCACAAACGCGUGCAACUGAUGCGGUCAUGUCCUUGAUUCAAACAUUUAUACUAUUAAGAAUGGACUUGAUAUAAAUAUGAGUACACAUCUAUGUUCCUCGUUUACGUAUCUAUAUGUAUAUAGAAAAUCAUGAAAGAAUAUAUUUUGAAC